rnacentral:rRNA from 1 species
GCAUAUCAAUAAGCGGAGGAAAAGAAACCAACAGGGAUUGCCCUAGUAACGGCGAGUGAAGCGGCAACAGCUCAAAUUUGAAAUCUGGCCUCCUCUGGUGGUCCGAGUUGUAAUUUGCAGAGGGUGCUUUGGCGUCGGCAGCGGUCUAAGUUCCUUGGAACAGGACAUCACAGAGGGUGAGAAUCCCGUACGUGGUCGCCUGCCUUCGCCGUGUAAAGCCCCUUCGACGAGUCGAGUUGUUUGGGAAUGCAGCUCUAAAUGGGAGGUAAAUUUCUUCUAAAGCUAAAUACCGGCCAGAGACCGAUAGCGCACAAGUAGAGUGAUCGAAAGAUGAAAAGCACUUUGGAAAGAGAGUCAAAAAGCACGUGAAAUUGUUGAAAGGGAAGCGCUUGCAGCCAGACUUGCUCGUAGUUGCUCAUCCGGGCUCUUGCCCGGAGCACUCUUCUGCGAGCAGGCCAGCAUCAGUUUGGGCGACCGGAUAAAGGCCUCUGUCAUGUAUCUUCCUUCGGGAUGACCUUAUAGGGGAGGCGUAAUGCGGCCAGCCCGGACUGAGGUCCGCGCAUCUGCUAGGAUGCUGGCGUAAUGGCUGUAAGCGGCCCGUCUUGAAACACGGACCAAGGAGUCUAACAUCUAUGCGAGUGUUUGGGUGUCAAGCCCGGGCGCGUAAUGAAAGUGAACGGAGGUGGGAACCCUCUUUGGGGGUGCACCAUCGACCGAUCCUGAUGUCUUCGGAUGGAUUUGAGUAAGAGCAUAGCUGUUGGGACCCGAAAGAUGGUGAACUAUGCUUGAAUAGGGUGAAGCCAGAGGAAACUCUGGUGGAGGCUCGCAGCGGUUCCGACGUGCAAAUCGAUCGUCAAAUUUGGGCAUAGGGGCGAAAGACUAAUCGAACUAUCUAGUAGCUGGUUCCUGCGA